GGGAAAGUGGCUCAGUGGGAGAGUGCUUGCCUUGAAUGCAUGAGGCCCUGGGUUCGAUUCCUCAGCACCA
rnacentral:tRNA from 1 species